ACAAAAAAAUGUAAAAUAAUGAAAAACUGUUUAGGUUAAAUAAACUGUAAAAAAAACUAACUGUGGUGAUGUAUAGAUAUAUAGAAAUUAAAAAUUAAGAAAACAAACAAACAUUUCAUGAUUUUGUUGUCUUACUUCCUGUAUUUCCGGAAGUAGUAAGCCCGCGAACCGGAAACGCAGGUAUCUUACCGGCAGUCAGCGGUCAAAAAAGUCUCGUCUAAAGACAUCUUUAGUUUCCCCGACAUUCUGAAAGGACAGGAAAGGACAUCUGCACGGAUGCUGAGGGCAAAGAGCUGCAGAGUGUAUUUCCCACCAGUGAUACCAGAACGAGGCGAUUCUCUGAUGGGAACGUCACGCUGACAGAAAGGCGGGCGCAUCAGAAGUCCGCCGUGGUCACGCUGGUGUCACCUUGGAUCCAGGUGGGAGUCGGCUCCGGUCAGGUGAAGGUGAUGUGAAGAGAGGCGCCGUGCCACUCAUGCUGAACGCAGGUCAAACGCCGCCGCCCACACGCCGGAACCAGGGGAACGCCCGACCGACACUUCCAUGUGGAGGAGUGGACUUCAGGUUGGUUCUUUUAUGGUUAAAAGCCCCCUGUCCUGUGGCCCCCGACCGUUUUUAGACCACAUGCUGGUUUAAACGGUUAGAUACCUCUGUUGACUGGGUGCAGGACCGACAUGCAGGGAACCUGGGUUUACCUCCCAGGUCUUGUUAAAAUGUCCACUUAGGAACAGAUUGUGGAAAACGGAGAAUCUGGAUACUCGUUAGAGGCCUACAUGAGGGCCCAGCUGGGAUUUCAACCAGGACCCUCUCGCUCUAAAACCUAAAGGGAGGAUGGGAGGAGCAUCGCUCCACCUGCUUUCAAAGGAAAACGGCCAUUUCCUGCCGUUGCUCUUUGACUUGCUGCCAAUCACCUUCAGGUGAAGUCAGAGAUGCUAACGAGUGGGAUGGACCUCGUCACAUCCUGACCUUUCCCGCUCAGAGGAAGGAGCAGAUCUAAGGGAAUCCUGGGAAGACGUGUGGAAGUUAAUUAAGCGCCGUUCUGAAGAUUUAGCAUCUGUUUUUCCCUGAAAGAACAUUUUAAUAAAUCAUAGAAACGUCACAUUUGAACCUGUUUAAAGCAGCAGA